rnacentral:rRNA from 1 species
GACGAACGCUGGCGGCGUGCUUAACACAUGCAAGUCGAACGGAAAGGCGCUGCUUUUGUGCGUUGCUCGAUUGGCGAACACGGGAGUAACACGUGAGUAUCCUGCCCCUGACUUUCGGAUAACUUCUGGAAACUCCGGCUCAUACCGGAUAGGAUAUCCUGCUGCAUGGUGUGGGUUGGUAAAUGUCGGCCGUUGGGGAUGGACUCGCGGGUUAUCCGCUUGAUAGGGGGGUAGUGGCUUACCAAGGGUGUGACGGGUAGGCGGCAUGAGAGGGUUAACGGCCACAUUGGGACUGAGAGACGGAGCAGAAGCCUACGGGAGGCAGCAGGGGAGAAUAUGGCACAGUGGGCGGAAGCCUGAUGUAGAAACGCCGCGUGCGGGAUGACGGCCUUCGGGUGAUAAACAGAUUUCGCAUGUGACGAAGAGUGAUUGACGGUAAUGGGUAAAGAAGCACCGGCUAACUACGUG